rnacentral:tRNA from 18 species
GCCGAGUGGUUAAGGCGAUGGAUUGCUAAUCCAUUGCUCUUUGAGCGCGCAAGUUCGAAUCUUGCCACU